GAGGGUAUAGCUCAGUGGUAGAGCGCAUGCUUAGCAUGUAUGCGAUCUUGGGUUCAGUCUCCAGUACCUCCA
rnacentral:tRNA from 1 species